AAAAUCUUUGACUUGUGGAUUGUUACUAAAUAUAAAACUUUAGCCUACAGUUUACACAUUUGUAGACGCUCUAUUUUUGGCAACUAGACCCCAUAGUUUGAUACAAUUGUAAAAAAGAUGUUUGUAACUAAUGUUUUACAAAAAGGGUUUAAAUUACUAUUUUAUUAGCAGUGACCCAAAUCACAUCAGUCAGUAUUUACAUUAUUUUAAAUAUAACCAAGGUGGCUAUUAAGCAACCAUCUGCCUGUAUUGAUAUAAACAUUUACAGUAGGAAAUUAAAAAAAAAUAUUACAUAUAUGUUCACCAUUAAUAUCAACAUGAUAAGUGUAAGAUAGGAAAGAGCAAUUCAUGAUAUUGCAAUGCACUGUUUCCCCCUCUGUUUGCUGAAUGGGUUAACAGGACAGUUUUUUUUUUUUUUUGACAAAUACUUAACUUGACCAGUUUAAAAGUUGUAUAUGUUGAGUAUGCAAAUUAAUCAUACAUUGUAAUAGCUAUUUUUUAUGUCACCAUGAUACCCAGUAUAGAACAAUUAGGUUUUUCAUCACCUUUGAGUUCCCAUAGACAAAUCCCUAAUUUACUGAAUGGUUUAUUUGCAUGUUGAUUAGACAUGUGCAAUAAUUUUCAGAUGGUUAAAAAAAUUCAAAAUAAAGUUAAUCUGAAAAUGAAUAUUGGUCAAUAAAUUAGUGAAUAAAACAAAUCAAACACAGAAUAAAUUUAAUUUGGCUCCAUUCAUUUGUUCGGUGAUGGGCUGCUGUGCUCUUCUGGGUACAGGAAUAAGUAAAAAUAGAUAAAUACAUUUAAUACAUGGCACUCAUGGUAAAUAUGAGAAAAGAGGGAUGGGAAAAAUUAUUUUUCUUUUUUACCGUUUGAUCUUUUGUUCACAAAAAUACUCUGCUCUCAUGAAUAUCAAACAAUUGCAAACACAACACAGUUUAUCCCCCCCCCCCAAAAAAAAAAUACAUCUUUGUUAAUUAUAUGUGUUGCAGAAUUAUUGACACUGUUUUAGUCAAUACUUUGUGCUACCUCCCUUUUCCAAUAUAAAUAUGAAAUUUGAAAUAUGCAUGUCAAUGGAUCUGAGACCAUACAUCCAUUUAGAAUCUCUCCAGAUUGUUCAAAUUUUGAGGUCGACACUGUUGGGCUCUCUUCUUCAGUUCAUCCUACAGUUUUUCUCUGAGGUUCUAGUCAG